AUGUCGUUGUCUUUUGGUUUAUUAUUAGUGUGUUUUAAGGUUUUGUUUUAUGUUAAUUUUGUGUUGUUUAUUGGCUGUGAAGAAGCAAAUUAAAAGGGCAACUCCCACAAAAAGGGAAAUUAUAAGGCAGUGUUUGCUUUUGGAGAUUCAAUAGUGGAUCAAGGAAAUAAUAACUAUAUAUCAACAAAGGUUAAGUGUAAACAUCUACCUUAUGGCAAGGAUUUCAUGGGUGGAACCCCUACCGGAAGGUUCAGCAACGGCAAGACGCCGCCGGACAUGUUAGAGUGGGGUUAGAGGAAGCUAAAGUGUAUUCAAUGUCUCAGUCCAUACCACUACCUCAGAUGAAGUAGAGAGAUUGUUUUCGAUAGACCCUCGGCUCAGGACAGUGGAAGGAUUGGGGAUUAAACAACUAAUGCCAGCUUAUUUGGAUCAAAAUUUGAAAAUUGAAGAUUUAAAAACUGGAGUGAGCUUUGCAUCACGAGGUUGUGGAUAUGAUCCUUUAACAUCUAUGGACGUGGUAACUUCUUAUUAGUCAUCAUCUUUUUAUAUCUUAUCGUAAAAUAAUCAUAGACGAAUUCAGAAUUUUUAAUUUAUGAGUAUUCAACGACUUAUAAUGUAUAGUUAUUACUUUCUAAAAUUGGAUGCUAAAAAUAUAAUGGUUUUGGUAAUGUGUUACUAGUUAUAAUGUUGAAGUAUGUGAUAGUUAAGUUGUUAGAGAAAAUAUAUUUUUAUUACUUAAUUAUAUUUUUAGGACGUUGGAUUCACUCACAUGCAGGCUUGAUUAUAUUCCUUUUUUUUAAAUGAAUAAAAUAUGUGAA